GCUUCGAGUACAACAUUUUGUUUUCUUUAAUUAAGAUGAUUUGAUUAAAAAAAAAAAAAAUUUUAAACUGAAGUCUUAAUUACAGGAGCGUGAUAUUAUGUUUUACACAAAUGUGUAUAUCCAGGAUAUAAUCUAUCUCCAUUCCAAACUUCAAUCAAAUCGGUUCAGUAGUUGCGUUGUGAAGAGCACACUCACUUUCGCCGUUUUUUUAUUCAAAUCACAAGAAUUAUUUACCAUUACAAAAAUAGAUUGUUCCAUAUAAACUAAACGCCUUGAUGGAUUUCUUCGAAGACUGGUGCGAACUUCUCAACGCUUACGACCUUUGGCAUUUCACGAUGCCUUUAUGUUAUACCAAUCGAUAAUGUUGACCUUUACCACUGUGAACUUGUAUAUCCUUUUCACACUGAGGCCGGGUAUACAGCUGCGAAUGCGUAAACUUUGGACUUCUACAUACAUACAUACAGUAAGACGUUCAGUUGCAAUUGCUUCGAGACGUCGACUGCUUCAAGGUACGACUGCGUAAACUACAAACUUCUUACAUACACAAACCGCUCAAGCAGUUGCAACUGCUUCGAGACGUAUCCGCUCGGAGCACGAAAGAGCUUGAAAAAUUUUUCGUGCUCCGAGCUUUGAAAUUGAAAUUUAGUUCGCGGCGCAUGUAUCAGUCAGGAUCGACUGCUUCAACCCAUGCUUCAAGCUGCGACUGCGCUCAAGCAGUUGCAACUGGUGCUGCUUCGAGCGGUUAUCAACAGCAGGUUCAAGCUGUUGACUCUUGACUGCAAGAGCGGUCCAUGUAUGUUGAUGACUUGCUAACUUCUAAAGCUACCCGUAUAUGGCCGGCCUUACAUACUUGCUGUUAGACAAAGUAUUUUGAAAUUUCUUUAAGCAUUACCCAAGUCGCAAAAAUGGGAGUUCAGUUCCAAGUAUUUUUAUCAUCUUGUUGUAAGUAAUCUGAAACAUUGUCGUAUUGAGAACUUCCUCAUUUUUUUGAAGAUGGUUGAAAAUGACUAGUCAUUACCUUUAAUACCUUUUUCCCUACUGUUUUCUCUGUUUCGUUUUGUAUGCCACGUUUGUAUUAAACGUUUCUUACGGUGGAAUUCAAAGUCGUAGUAGGGGGCCCCUAAGGGGAUUAUUCAGCCGCUAUGUGUCGAAUUCAACCCCUACGCGUUUCAUAGACAAAAGAAACCCCUCAUUUGACAGGAGCUGGCGGCUGACUGCUGAAUUACCGAUAUUUGUCAGCCAAACCAUCCCCUGGCAUUUUUUUUGUUGUUAUUCGUGAUUUAUUUAUUAAAAAGUGGACUUGGAAAGUGUUAAGACUGUGUAUAAACAGCGAGUUAUAUCAGUAUCCAAGAUAAAUAUUCGCAAUUGCGUAAAUCCAGUUUAAUACUAUGGCGUUAUGGAAUGUACGAAAGAUUCUCAUAUUAGGCAUAAUAUGCCUCUGUUUGAUGAAGAAUGAACACAGAAGACCCAAGAGAGGAAUACCAAUACCGCUAUUAUUAUGCAUUCUAGCAGCACUUCGAUUCUAUGUAACGGGAUGUUUCCAGACUGUAUGUGCAUUCCAUCAAGCAUUCUAUGAAAUAACAGAAAUGCCACAAGUCAAGCUGUAUUGAUGGCACGCAUAGGUAUACAUAUAAACAACCCCGGAGGACACUAUGCACAGAUUUUAAGAAAUCAGCUAUCAUGGCAGGGAAUAGCAGUGAUGAGCUCUGAGAAUACUGUUUUACCAAGAAUACUGAGAAUACUUUGGUCCUUGAAAAUCCGAGUUUUCAGAUCACAGUAAUUGGAAGAUCCACAUACCUUGAAAAGUCAGCAGCAUUUAAUAUAGAGGUAGUAGGAGUGAGUGCAGUAUGUUGUAAGGUGGUCACUCACUCUGAAGUCCAUAACAAUAGAAAAUGUAUACAAAUCUUAAUUGAAUGAAAUUUAUUGAUUCACAUCUUUAAUAAAGAUAAUUAUUAAAUGUUUA